GAAGCAAGUAUGAAAGACGGUUGCGAGUCCAUUGGACUCGAGGAAAGUCCGAGCUCCAUAGGGCAGGAUGCCAGAUAACGUCUGGCGAGGGUGACCUUAGGGAAAGUGCCAUAGAAAAGGAAACCGCCACGUCAGUGGUAAGGGUGGAAAGGUGAGGUAAGAGCUCACCAGCAGUCUGGUAACAGGCUGGCUCGGUAAACCCCAUCCGGAGCAAGACCGAAUAGGGAAGGGUAGCGGAACAGAACUCGGCUUAAUGAUUGCUUGCUUCUUAU
rnacentral:RNase_P_RNA from 1 species